CUCAACAUCUCAUACCAUGUCACCCUGUAUCCCAAGACUGGUCACCCACUGAAGCUAAGCAGGGUUGAUCAGUACUUGGAUGGGAGACCUCCUGAGAAAACUAGGUUGUUGCUGGAA
ensembl:rRNA 5S_rRNA 5S ribosomal RNA